rnacentral:rRNA from 1 species
AGCGAAUCUAAAGGGAGCUUGCUCCCGGAAGAUUAGCGGCGGACGGGUGAGUAACACGUGGGCAACCUACCUGUAAGUCUGGGAUAACUUCGGGAAACCGGAGCUAAUACCGGAUAAUUUCUUUCUUCGCAUGAAGAAAGGUUGAAAGACGGCUUUGCUGUCACUUACAGAUGGGCCCGCGGCGCAUUAGUUAGUUGGUGAGGUAACGGCUCACCAAGACCACGAUGCGUAGCCGACCUGAGAGGGUGAUCGGCCACACUGGGACUGAGACACGGCCCAGACUCCUACGGGAGGCAGCAGUAGGGAAUCUUCCGCAAUGGACGAAAGUCUGACGGAGCAACGCCGCGUGAGUGAAGAAGGUCUUCGGAUCGUAAAACUCUGUUAUCAGGGAAGAACAAGUACCGGAGUCACUGCCGGUACCUUGACGGUACCUGACCAGAAAGCCACGGCUAACUACGUGCCAGCAGCCGCGGUAAUACGUAGGUGGCAAGCGUUGUCCGGAAUUAUUGGGCGUAAAGCGCGCGCAGGCGGUUCUUUAAGUCUGAUGUGAAAUCUUGCGGCUCAACCGUGAGCGGUCAUUGGAAACUGGAGAACUUGAGUGCAGAAGAGAAGAGCGGAAUUCCACGUGUAGCGGUGAAAUGCGUAGAGAUGUGGAGGAACACCAGUGGCGAAGGCGGCUCUUUGGUCUGUAACUGACGCUGAGGCGCGAAAGCGUGGGGAGCGAACAGGAUUAGAUACCCUGGUAGUCCACGCCGUAAACGAUGAGUGCUAAGUGUUAGAGGGUUUCCGCCCUUUAGUGCUGCAGCAAACGCAUUAAGCACUCCGCCUGGGGAGUACGGCCGCAAGGCUGAAACUCAAAGGAAUUGACGGGGGCCCGCACAAGCGG